AUGUCGUCAGACCUUCGAACAGACUCAACGUACAGUACAUAGGCCCGUAUCUCAGGAGAGCAAUGGUCAAUCCGGGUGAUUGACACGUCUAUAGAACCGUCAGCGCCUCCCACGGACACCAUUCGCUAUCUGUGAGGGGGCGAACCCACUGUGAGGCCUUUUUUCCCCACCGCCAUUUGACAUGCGACUUCCGCAUGUGUGGUCGAAGUAGGACGGACCAGGCGGAUUAAUAUCUUGAAGUGACAAGCGGUCUUUGUGCUACGUUAACUAAAGCGGAUUCAUGGAUCAACACAUAACAUUUCCUGCAAAUACUUCGACGGCCCCACAUUUCAGGGGGAGAGGAGGAGGAAGAGGAGGGUGACAACUGAGGGCGAGGAAGAGGAUGUAGGAACCAGAAAGACACGAGUUAAGGAGGAGAAAGAUGAAUCAGAGGAGGGAGGGAAGACAUAGAGAAGUAGAGGAAAAGCAAGUAAAGGAAAAGGUAACAGCCGCUGAAAAGAGCACAGAGUCGACGCAGCGGCCGGGUGAAUUUGAU